GGUGAUGGAGAUGAGGGCACUCGA
rnacentral:siRNA from 1 species